rnacentral:rRNA from 1 species
GGAAUUUUGGACAAUGGGCGCAAGCCUGAUCCAGCCAUGCCGCGUGAGUGAAGAAGGCCUUCGGGUUGUAAAGCUCUUUCAGUCGGGAAGAAAAGGUUGCGACUAAUAAUCGCGAUCAAUGAUGGUACCGACAGAAGAAGCACCGGCUAACUACGUGCCAGCCGCCGCGGUAAUACGAAGGGUGCGAGCGUUAAUCGGAAUGACUGGGCGUAAAGGGUGCGCAGGCGGUUUUGUAAGGCAGAUGUGAAAUCCCCGGGCUUAACCUGGGAACUGCGUUUGAAACUACAAGACUAGAGUGUAGCAGAGGGGGGUGGAAUUCCAUGUGUAGCAGUGAAAUGCGUAGAGAUAUGGAAGAACACCGAUGGCGAAGGCAGCCCCCUGGGCUAACACUGACGCUCAGGCACGAAAGCGUGGGGAGCAAAC